CUGUCAGUGUAGCCAGUGUUACAUAAAAAUACGUCCCCCAUAUCUAUACGUAUCGCGUCCAUGUUCCGUGUGAAAUUACUAAAGGACUGUACUACAACAAAGUUGUAUUCCUCUCUGAUUAUAAUUAGUCCUGUGCAUUUGCAUUAAGAUAAACUCUCCUAAAUAUGAAAGUUAAUUAUUGACUAUUAGAUAUUCAAAUUACAUUACUUUAAUUUUAUGGAGGUUAUUCAUUAGUGUAACGUUAUUUCUUUCAUAUAUUUUCUUACUCAUAGAUGGUGAUGACAGCAAAGAUAGGUUUCCUCAAUUCAUCUGUGAAGACAGUGAGGUCCAUAUGCCCCCUGUUCCUCCCCUUAAAAGAGAGCAAUACAACCAACCCUUAAUCCAUGUUAAUCCCAGGCUGUGCUUGUGAGCCUUUAAUUUCAAAAGUUAUGUGGUCCCUGUCAUGCCCACAGUUAAAGAGAAAUGAUGUCUAGCUGGUAUAUGGACGGUGUCGGGGAGAACCGAGGUGGUUAUACAAAACAGGGACCAGAACUUCUGCUACAGAGUGAGCACGGGAGGAUGAAGCUGCAGAGUAACCUUGUGGAGAGAGAAGAGCAGUGAUCUGGCACAUGAGCUGGACAUCAAACCAGUGCAUCUGUCAAGUGGACAUGGACCGAGCAGCAGAACCCUGAAGGGGUAUUUAUAGCCUGUAGAUCCCGUUACAGAUGAGGAUGAUGAUAUUGAAAGUCUUCUUGCUCCACAAGCAAAGUAAAGACAGCGUCAGCAGCAGGGAGAGGAGGAAGAGGAAGAAGGGAGGAAGAGCAGGGCAUAGCGCAACAGACAGGUCCUCUGCAGGAUCCGGGGAGGUGGUUAUUGCUGAGGCUUCAGUAUCUUCUGCCUCUGUGGUACAAAGCUAAGAGAAUGAUGGGACAUCGGAGGCAAAGAGCAAGACAAACAGGAGGAGUAGGAGUCCCUGAGUCAUAGGGAGGCGUUGGUGAGUCAAAUCAGGAAUCAGGGAGUCAAAUUACAAUUCACAACAACUACCUUAUACACACAAGUGUAAGGGGAUAAAGAAUAUGUACAUAAAGAUAUAUGAAUGAGUGAUGGUACAGAACGGCAUAGGCAAGAUGCAGUAGAUGGUAUCGAGUACAGUAUAUACAUAUGAGAUGAGUAAUGUAGGGUAUGUAAACAUAUAAAAGUGGCCUUGUUUAAAGAACAAAAUACUGCAUAGUUUCCUAGGAACGCGAAGCGAGGCGGCCAUCUCUGUCGGAAAUCAAGUUCAUUGUCAUUUCUACACAGUUUUGGCCCGUAUGUUUGACACCCCUGCUAUAGUAGACCUAUUUACUAUAGUGUUGUUGUUUUAUUAUAUUUACUAUAGCAUCUGGAUUAAACACUGCCAAAAUCAUCACUGUCUGGCCAACAUUCAAAUAAUCUACCAUAGCAGGUCAACAACUCACAAGGAAUACUGUCAGAAUCUGCUCAAAUCUGUCUGUAACCACUUACCAAAAUCUACAAAACAUUUGCCACUGGGCAACAACUCACGAAGAUAGCUAUAAUCAAUGUUUGUGCUGUGAUCCCCACACCAACCAAGAAAUAUGAUACACUUCCUUUUCCAUUGUCUGCAGCUUGGACACAUACUGUACAACACCAUGCUGCAUAUUUAAACUCUUCACUCACUUAUAGUAAUGUUAUAUGUUAGCUAAUGUGUGUAUCCAGCACAGUACAGUGAAGGUGUCCUCAGUGUUCCAUAACAUCACCUACGGGAACCUCAGGACUCUGAUGACGGCAUCGUCAUGGCAAUGACCUGGUCGGAUCUGGCAAAAGUGAUACACAUGCCAGUGGAUGACUGACAUGGAAGAGGCCAAAGCAAAGAUCAAUGCCUUCUCUACCCUCAUUUUCCUGCUGCAGCCCGAAGACUGCCUCAACACAUUGGUUGAGUUCAGUAGCCAUUGCUUAGCUUGUGAAAAUAGGAAUAAUGGGUAGAAUACUCCUUACAGUCCCUAGUGUUGUAAUGGACAGUGUCUAUCUUUUACAGAUCCAUGGGGUGAAUUGUGCUUGCUGCUUCUUACAUUUACAUUACAUUUACAUUUAAGUCAUUUAGCAGACGCUCUUAUCCAGAGCGACUUACAAAUUGGUGCUUUCACCUUAUGACAUCCAGUGGAACAGCCACUUUACAAUAGUGCAUCUAGGUCUUUUAA